CUCCUUCAUGCUCUCACCAAUCUUGGCUGUUUUGAAAGGCCAAGCAUAAUGUUUUGAUUAAACUGAAUUUUUAAAUUUCUAACGAAUUUGUCCGCUGUCAUAUAUUUAUUGAUCAUUUGAACAUCUUUUUAUUCUUAGCCUAUUUAUUAAAGUAUUUUUAUUGAUUUAGAAGAGCUUUUUAUUACAAUAUUUUAACCAUUUGUCAUAUAUAUAUUGCAUAGUGUCUUUUCUUUAUGAUUUGUCUUUUGGAGGUAGCCUGUGAAUUGGUCUCCCUUUCUACAGGCUUAGUUAAUCCAUUCUGCAUUAGAAAGACUGAUGUGGCUGUAAACCCUACCUUUAUAUAUUGUGGUCAGAAGCCUGUAACAUAAAGUAUCAAGUCUUAAACCAGUGAUUCUCCAACUUUAGUGUGAAUAAGAAUCACCUUGGAGGUAUGCUGACCAGAUUUACAGUCAGUGAGUAUGACCUAAGGCCCAGGGUUACCAUUUUUAAUAAGAACUCCAUAUUUGAUACUGUUGAUAAAUAGACCGUCCUUUGAGAAAUAAUACUCUUUAGCCUAGCACGCAGGGUUUUUAAUGAUGCUAUUCUCAGCUUACUUAUUUGUCUACAUUCCCCUAUGUGAAAAUUGCUCUUGCUGGGAUUGUCUUUUUCCUGAGUAAUGCAUAGACAAUUCCAUCUCUAAGCCAUUGUGGCUAAAAGUGCCAUAUGAAUUUAAGAUGGUAAUAUGCCAUUCUUCUCCCCCGGAAUUUCUUCUGUAUUCUACUUUUUCCAAAUCCUGGCUUCCCUUUAAGAUGCAACUCUAUUUCCAUCUUUUUUGUAAUUAUUCUCUGACCAUUUUAAACAGAUUUUUUCCCCCAUCUCUGACUCUAAGCACUCAUGUGUUGUAACCUUUUAGAAUUUCC
rnacentral:lncRNA from 1 species